rnacentral:rRNA from 1 species
GUGAGGAAUUUUCCGCAAUGGGCGAAAGCCUGACGGAGCAAUGCCGCGUGAAGGAUGAAGGCCUAUGGGUUGUAAACUUCUUUUCUCAGAAAAGAAUUAUGACGGUAUCUGAGGAAUAAGCAUCGGCUAACUCUGUGCCAGCAGCCGCGGUAAGACAGAGGAUGCAAGCGUUAUCCGGAAUGAUUGGGCGUAAAGCGUCUGUAGGUUGUUUAAAAAGUAUUCUGUCAAAGAUUAGGGCUUAACCCUAGAUAGGCAGAAUAAACUUUUAAGCUAGAGUUUGGUAGAGGCAGAGGGAAUUCCCGGUGGAGCGAUGAAAUGCGUAGAUAUCGGGAGGAACACCAAAGGCGAAGGCACUCUGCUGGGCCAAUACUAACACUGAGAGACGAAAGCGAGGGGAGCAAAUGGGAUUAGAAACCCGGGUAGUCC